rnacentral:lncRNA from 1 species
ACUUGCUCAAGCUCAAGAGUGCCUUCAAGAGCUCAUAAAUAACUUUACGUGUUUGCUUUCCAUGUGUCUUCCCCAGUAUUGUCUGGUCACCCUGGGGGCUCGCCGUCUCAGUCUGCUGACAAGAAGGUUGGCUGCUUCCUUCCCGGCUCUGCCCCGCAUUUCUUAGGACUGAGCCACAUAGAAGGCCAAGCUGCAGGGGACAUGGAGAAAGAGAGCAACUGGCUACAUCCCUCAGGACCACAGCUCCUCUGAAGAAACAGAAAGUUUUCACCUUCCCCUGUCUCCAUUUCAUUGUUCACUAUUCUGAGCAGCCUGAAAUAUUAACCGCCAAAGCCAUUAAUAUGAAAAGAGGGUGUAUCUUCUCCAGCAUGACCGGGACCAGAAAGCAGUGGCUGGAGCUGCCCAGAAUAGAAAGAGGAGGUGAUUUCACCCCAAGACAAAAGAAGCUACCUGUUUCCACCUGGGGACCUCCCACGUGUUAGCUCAAGAGAGAAAAAUGCAGGUGCAUAUGCCUUUCAAACUGUGGAAUGAAAUCAAGAAGGAAGGAGAAAGUAUCUUCAUGGUGAGGGCUCUCCUCUUCCCAGGAAGUAGGAGCCACCUCCACACUCCUGACCCCUCAGCUGGCUAAUGAUCAUUCCAGAGCAAACAUCACUAUUUCAUUAUGCAUUUUUCCUAUUUGCUUCUUGUCCAUUUCCCUUACACCUCUCAACUAGGAUGGAGUUCCAGGGGGGAGGCAGUUUUUGCCUUGUUUUUACUCUGUGAUUACUGCACCCAAAACCCU